rnacentral:lncRNA from 1 species
ACUCAAGACAGAGCCAACUAUGUUUAUUCAAACUACAAAGUGUAUUGAAAUUUUCUUUGACGAUUUAUUUACCUGAAAAUUUAUGUUAUUAGCAAAAAAAAGGUGUAUUGUAAUCUUCAUUGUAUGAUUCAUUUGCCACUAAAAUCUAUGUUUUAUGAUCAGCAUCAUCAUAAAAAAGGGAAAAAAUGCCGCAAGAAAAAAAAAGGAAAAAAAAUCGGCCGCAAGAGGUGACCAUGUGAUGUAGAAAGAAAAACUACAAAAAUGACCAUGAGAUGAAGAAAAAAGGAAAAAAAAUCAGCCAUAAAAAAAUCAACCAUGACAUUUGUCAUGAUGAAAAAAUAAAAAAAAUGGCCACAAGAAAAUGAAAAAAAAACCGCCGCAAACACGGCACCACGAUACCAAAAAAAAAAAACAUCGACAACAAAAAUGUGAAAGCUCAUUCGAGCGUUGGUGUCUGAGGAU